CCUACGGGCGGCAGCAGUGGGGAAUAUUGGGCAAUGGGCGCAAGCCUGACCCAGCAACGCCGCGUGAAGGAAGAAGGCUUUCGGGUUGUAAACUUCUUUUGUCAGGGACGAAGCAAGUGACGGUACCUGACGAAUAAGCCACGGCUAACUACGUGCCAGCAGCCGCGGUAAUACGUAGGUGGCAAGCGUUAUCCGGAUUAAUGGGGGGAAAGGGCGGGGAGGCGGGAAUGCAAGUCAGAUGUGAAAACUAUGGGCUCAACCCAUAGCCUGCAUUUGAAACUGUAUUUCUUGAGUGCUGGAGAGGCAAUCGGAAUUCCGUGGGUAGCGGUGAAAUGCGUAGAUAUACUGAGGAACACCAGUGGCGAAGGCGGAUUGCUGGACAGUAACUGACGCUGAGGCGCGAAAGCGUGGGGAGCAAACAGGAUUAGAUACCCCGGUAGUC
rnacentral:rRNA from 1 species